CAGUAGCCGCGGGAACACGUAGGUGGCAAGCGUUGUCCGGAAUUAUUGGGCGUAAAGGGCUCGCAGGCGGUUUCUUAAGUCUGAUGUGAAAGCCCCCGGCUCAACCGGGGAGGGUCAUUGGAAACUGGGAAACUUGGGUGCAGAAGAGGAGAGUGGAAUUCCACGUGUAGCGGUGAAAUGCGUAGAGAUGUGGAGGAACACCAGUGGCGAAGGCGACUCUCUGGUCUGUAACUGACGCUGAGGAGCGAAAGCGUGGGGAGCGAACAGGAUUAGAUACCCCCGUAGUCCCUGUCUCUUAUAC
rnacentral:rRNA from 1 species